rnacentral:rRNA from 1 species
GAUCCUGGCUCAGGAUGAACGCUAGCGACAGGCUUAACACAUGCAAGUCGAGGGGCAGCACGGUGUAGCAAUACACUGGUGGCGACCGGCGCACGGGUGAGUAACACGUGUGCAACCAACCCCGUACCGGGAGAUAACCCGCGGAAACGUGGGCUAACAUCCCAUAAUACUGGAGGAUCGCAUGAUCUUUCAUUUAAAAUUCCGGUGGUACGGGACGGGCACGCGCGACAUUAGGUAGUUGGCGGGGUAACGGCCC